rnacentral:lncRNA from 1 species
ACAGACGGACCGACGGACGGCGCGGCGUGCAGAAGGCGCCCGGCCAUGUUCAGCCGGAGCUCCCGGAAAAGACUCUCCAGCCGCUCGUUGACCGGACCGGGGCGGAUUGAGAGAGGCCAGCCAUGUAACGCCUGUGGUGAUCAGUGCCCUGGGUUCGCCCUGCAUAAAUGGAGGGGUUGGAAGUUCAAGAUCAAGGUACCAGGAGAGUUCAUUUCUGG